GGCGCUUUUUCGUGGAAACUCUGAUGUUGAUCAGCUAGGAAAAAUCUUUGAAGUAAUUGGGCUUCCUGAAGAAGAAGAUUGGCCUAAUGAUGUUGCCCUCCCGAGGAAUGCUUUUGCUUCUCAAUCCCCUCAGCCCAUUGAACUUCUUGUAACAGAUAUUGAUGAAUUGGGCAAAGAUUUGCUACUUAAAUGUCUGACAUUCAGUCCCAUGAAGAGAAUAUCAGCUUAUGAUGCCUUAUCUCAUCCUUAUUUUCAUGAUUUGGAGAAAUACAGAGAGAAUACAGAUUCUGAUGUGUCUUCCAGUCAAAACUCCACAGAGAUGAAUUCAUUGUAAGGCUAUAUCAGGCUAACCUAAGGAUGAACAAACUAGUUUGAUAAGAUCACUGUCUAAGGUAAAAAGCAUCACUGUAUGUCUGAAGACUUCCUUGGAGACUUCACAUAAUUGUGUAGUUCUUCAAAAUGAUGCUCUGCCUCUCCAAGAAAAAGAACCUAGUUAGACCUGUCAAAACAAUGCAAGAUGCGAAACUUUCAAUGGGUCCCACUGUAGCUUGACAUUUGUUAGUCUAUCUGGAAUUCUCCAGGUAGAGAGAAGCUGCUGAUCAGUUUUGCUGCCAUUUUCUUCUAGCAUUGAACGAUGCCACCAUGGAUUAGAGGAAUCUAGUCUCUCUACCAAAACAUGACUUGACUUCUGUUCCUGGGUGCUGAAGUUUGACUUGGUCCUCCUCUGGGAGUUAUGGUGGUAGUUUUUUUUUUUUUUCCUGUUUUUUUGCUUGAUCAUGAAUUCAGAAAUAUUAUUUUUAAAGUAAUAUUUAAAAGAAUGACAUUGAGAUGCUGCAUCUCUAUACCCUGAAGUUAAAAGAAAAACGUAAAAAUACAUCUGGCUAUUGUAACCCACAGGAUCCUUCUCUAAUAAGAGAUGGAAGAUGAUAACAUUUUAUUUUCAUAAUAACUUGUGUCUGUGACUUAAUCUCCAGGUAUUAAUAAUGCACGUGUGAUAAAGGGAACAGGUGGUUUUAAAGAAAUUAUUUUGUAGGGAUCAUUUCUCUCAUCUGCUGAAUUUAUGUCAGUCACUGCACAGCAUUUCCUCUUUAUCUUUUCUGGUAAUAUACUUCUGUGCCUUUGGAAAUUAGGCAUUUCAGAUUUAUCAUUUUCAGAUUCAAGGACGAAAUUUUAAAAAGUCAAGUAUUCAUAUGUAUUUGUGUGUGCGUGUGUGCAUGUGUAUAUAUGUAUAUAUACAUAUAAACCUAUAUCCAUACCCACACGUACAAAUAUGUAUACAUAAACUAAAACUGCAACCCAAAAAUAUCUCAGAAAUUAGUCCUGUUGGAUUUAGUGAGGCAUAACUCUGUAUAGAAUUGUACCUUUUGAAGUUAUAAACUUAUUCCCACUUAUUUGGGGCAAAACCCCCAUUGAAUCCAGUGCGGCUUUCUUUUGCAGAGCCAUGUAAAGGAACACUCUGCAAUUCUGUGCAUUUUUCUCUUGAGAGUAAGCUACUUUGCACAAAAUGUGCUGGAUCCAACUACAGAUAUAUUCAGAGUUGGCCCAUUGAAAUCUGUGGGACAAUACAGUAUGAGUAAAGUUAUAAUUAUUAUAAUGGAAAUACUGUUUGGUUGUGUAAGUAUGGAUCUAAUUUAUUGAAACUUCCUUCUGGGUAAACAUGCAUAGGAUUAUGGUGUGAGAAACCAGGUGCUCAUAGCUGUCAUUCAAGCCUGUGUGUCAUGAUUAUAAUAAUCUCAGGCAUCAGACCACAUAACCCUCACAUUUGCUUCAAGUUUGCUUCCAAUCUGACAUUUCAUAUAAUUCAGUAGAUUUUACUUUUCUAUGUAAGAAAAUGUUAGGAACCCAUACUCAUUAACACUGACUGCUGUGCUCUGCUUUGCCUUUCACAUUUGCUGUAUUUGAAAGCCCACUUUGAUGAAUAAGUCACAGGCUGUCUUAGCACAAAUAUUUUAAAUCUUGCAUUAAAUGUCUGUAUAUGUUUUAGAGUUUUUGUAAAAAAUAGAAUUUUAAAAAGAAAUUUUAUUUUUGUAGUAUGGUUUGAUGAAAUAUUUUUUAAUCCACUCCUCACCUGGUUGCCUUAGAAUGAUUCUGAGGUAGCUCCAGGGCCAAUAUAUUAAUAGCUGCAACAAAACAGAAGAUGCAGGUGCUAUUGAAAUGAAUUAAUGGCUUGUACUCUUAUCUAUUAUAAUUGUUGCUGUGCUAUCUAAUCCUUUUCUGUUUACUGAGCUGUAUCAACCAUUUCCUUAUUCUUUGCAUGUUAAUUCCUGGAAUGUGUUCCCAGUACUUUCCUGUACAAUCCUCAUUCAUUUUAUUUGUAGUCUAUAUAAGAGAUGAAAGGGUACACAUAUCCAAAAAUUCUGCACUGCAGUUGAUUUGUUUUCCUAGGUGAUGUAUCUCAAUAAUUUGUUCUCAGUGGAACAAAGAAAGCCUCAUGUGAAUGUCCCUUUGCUAUAGGCUUCACCAGUCUGAUGCCCUCCAGCUAUGUCAAGACUACAGUUGUCAGAACUACUAAACAAAAUGUCCUGCUAUGGAAAUUUCUCACAAUUUGCAUACCUACUUCAAGUCACUUUCCAGAAACUGAAAUUUUGUUAGUUUUCAUCCCUUGCUAUGCUGACAUUUCGUAUUUAUCUUGAACUUCUGUAGAUUAAUCCCAUGAAGUUGGUUUUAAGUUACUGCUAUUGUAAUCCAAAAUGAAUUUGUGACAUUAAGAGUCACUGGUAUCUCAUGGGAAUACCAAUGAAAUUAUUUCAGAUUAGGCAAAAAUAUGGUAUGUCAUACUUCAUGAAUAUGAGCAAUUCAAAUAGCCUAUUGUGAUUCCAGUCUUUGCAUUGUGAAGAUGCAAGGAAGCUGACCAAAAGAAAUACUGAGGAACAACUUGUUAAAAGGCAGAGCAUACGCUUUGCAUGUUGAAGCUCCCACAUUGUAUUCCUGAUAUUUAGGUAGAAAAGGACGAAGUAAUAGAUGAUGUAAAAACCUUCUACCUUGAACUUUGGAUAGUUGGUUUAACUCAAACAGUAUGGACUAGAUAAAUUAAUAGUUGGAUAUGGUAAAAGGUAGUAUCCUGUGUUCUUUAGAGAACUUUCUACACUCCCUGAUGAACCCUAGUUAUUGCAUCUAUAUCUUACAAAUCUAAGCUGAACAUCCAGCUGUUUCAAGAUUUUAUCUUUAAAAAUAUAAGAAUGUUUGUUCUCCUAUUCAUGCUGCCCACUAUGUGCAAUAGAAAUUAUUCAACUUUAUGUAUAUCUCUUCAUUUAGGUUUGGCAUAGAAUUAGCUCAGGGAACACAUGCAGAAGAACCUCUCCUGCCUCCAGCUCCUUGACUCUGAUCCAAAGAACUUGCUCUAGAACUCAGCCGGGCUUGCAGUUUCCAGCAGAAUUUUUCACUUUCUCAUUUCUGACCACAGUUCCUUAGUCUGCAGCAGAAGCCCCUCUGAGGAUUUUUGAGAUGGAAGUGUCUCAAAACCUUGCUGCACAUUUCAAGCCCACCAUAUACAGCUCUUUGGAUUGGGCUAAAUAGCGGUAAAUCAGAUGCUGAGGAAAAGUCUUCUGGAAAAGUCUUCUUGCAGCAUGAUAGGAGUCUUUCAUGUACUGUGUGUGUGUUGCAGUCUGCCACAGCUACCCUUAAAAUGUGUGUGUUGUUUAUGAGAAUUGUUUCAGUGUAAGAGCUAGUCUCAUUCCUAAUAAGGGCAGGGGGACACUAAAUGUACCCCUGUAUUUAACAUUAUUCUAUUUGGCUUGAAUAUACUUAAGUAGCCAAAAUAUGCAAUUCAAAGUUUGCAGCCUAAGGUAAUUUGUAAUGAGUUCUAGCCUCUUCUACUCUGUUGCAGGAUAUUACCUGGAAGUUUAUCUUUAGCAUCCUUUAUUUUAGCCUUUUGGACAGCAACAUGUCACAGGCUGGUUCUGCUUGCUUUCAGCCAUUUUCACAUGACUAUUCCUCUUGCUAAAAGCUGUUAUCCAAUCACAUAUGUAUUGUGCUACUUUCCCCUAUUUAUAUAAAAUAUGCUUAUGUACAAAGGACGGAUUUAUUGGCUGCUAGAAAUUACAGUUACUUUAAAAUGUAGAAUAAUCCAGAAAGAUACCACCUCAGAUAUCACUGCAGUGAAAAGCAUCAUCUUUAAGGCUUAUAGAUUUUAUCAGAUAGCAUAUAAAUUCAUCAAGUAAUAUAAUUAAAUACAAAAGACAAUGUGUUUGAAAAAGUUAAACAUAUUUACAGUGUUUCUUUGAAGGCUUUUAGCUAGUAUUCCUCUUUUGAUGAGAUGAGAUUUGCUAGCAUGUGUUGUAGUUUAUAAAUUCUCUACCUUACAUGCUAUCAGGAUAAAUUAACCUCACAUAUUUUAUUAAAUCAUCAUAAACUACUUUUAUUCAUUAUGUUUCACUCGCUUAAUGCAUGUGGAUGUAAUUUUAGUUGCAGAAAACAUGGAAGUGACAAAAUAAAUGGAGUAAGUGUCAGGGUUUCAGAAGAUAGUGGAUUUUGGCCUGAAGAAAUUUCAGGUACACUUAAGGAGACCUCAGCAUAUCGUUAAAUUUAAGCAUUCACCUGGUUAUAAAGCAACAGGAAAUAGCAUGUAGGUGAGAGAACUGCAGGUAGGUAAGAGAAUGGAAAUGUGCUAUCAUCCUUCUGUUUCCAGCAUAGAAACCAAGCAGGCUAUCAGAAAUCUCCUCCUCUGCCAUGCAUAGAAGAGCAGUAGCUGCUGGAAGGGACUCACAGUUGCUUAAAUCUCCUCUGCCAGCUCGCCAAAAGCUAAUAAACUUCUUUUUUGCAGGUUAGUAACUUCCAGAACCUUAUUUAGAAGGCUGUUUUGGUACAUAAUUACUGGCUUGCAUCCAACAAUUUACUUUGCAUUCUUCUCUGUAUAUUUAGCAUGUCCUGUUCAUAUUGUUAAUUAUAUUGUCAAAAAUUAGUAUAGCCAGCCAGUUGUAUAUUUAGCAAAGAAAGGCUUUUGAACAAUUUCAGUAUAUAUUCUGAAAGGAUUUUGCCAGGAUAAGAUUAUUUUAUUGCCUUUUCAAGCUGUGCAACCUGAUUGUUUGCUUCUUUUAAUAUUUAUCUACUGAUUUCAAAUUCUAGUGGAAUUUUAGUACAUAAGAAUUAGAAUUACAAAUUUCUAGCAGCAUGCCCACAGUUCUGCUGCCUGCUUCCAUUUUGAUGAACUUUUGACUGAAGUCAUUCCAAUAGUUGCAAAUAACAGAGUUGAUGAAAACAGAUGUCUCUGCCUUUAGUCAACAGACAUUUAAACUUUUGUUUAGAACUGGUCAUUCACUGUUUUUGCUGUUGGGUUCAUAUAAAUAUUUCAGCUCUCAACUUGCCAAGUGGACAUUUCACCCAUUGAAAUCAAUGGCCCUUUCAAGUACUAAGUUCAGGAUUGGGAUUUUUGAUAAUGUUCCACAUAUUCACACAUAUUAUCCACAUUCUUCUUAUUAACAUUACGCAUAAUGCAUAAAAUUCAUGAAAACUUGUGGUGAAUUACCUAUUUGUGCAGAAUUUAUUUUCCUUUUGUAUGUAAGGGAGCAUGUUGUCAGUUCCGAAGCAUAUGGAAAAAUCAAAGUACAAGUCCCAUCACGAUUGGAGUUCAAAUUGUGGUGGAGUGAUGGGAGAUUCAACUUAGGAAGAUCUGAAUGGGAAAAAAGCAAUACCAGAGAUCACUAACACAGAACAUGCACAUUCGAUCAAAUACCAGGGCUCAAACCUAUAUGUCAUGAAGAAAUACAGGCAGAUAAGUGAAAUAACUGGCAAUCAGGAAGAACUGAUUUACUAGCAGAAAGAGUGGAGAAACAGAAAAAUGUUACAAAGCCAUAGAAACAAAAUCAUCUGGUGGCCACAUCAGAGAUGUAAACCUGAGCAGAAGCACUUAGCAAUAAUUGGAGUCAGAAGGAACCAGUGGGCUACCAGCAAGGUAUGAUGUUUGGGCCAUGGCAGAGAAGAUGAUGUCUUCUUCUACUUUCCAGUCUAAAUGACCUCAUUCCAAGGUUGCUCAAAUAAAUGCAAGACUGGUUAUGUGCAAUGAUUAAGUAAUGCUUCUGGAUCCUUUUCAGUUGUUUUUCUCAGGGGAAUUGAUUCAACAAUUAGCCUAAUACAUACUACAUUUCCUAAUAAAACAUGCGUCAAACAGCUGCAUUCCCAACAUUACUGUGACUAAAUGCUAAUUGCAAGUCAUUGGCUUUCUCUCUCGCAUCUCACAACAGAGGAUAACAACUAUACACAUUUAAAGAUUCCUGGUUUAUUUAUUCCUAACAAUUUAAACCUAAAAAUAGACAGGUAGCCAGUGUCCAUAUAAGAAUGAAUAAGUGUAAAGUACUUGAUUAAGGCAGAACAGGAGUGGUGAACUUUAACUAAAAUGAUAUAUGAAUAAAUUACAAUGCCAAGAAGAGAUAAUUUUUAACAAAAGGCUGUAAAUGCAAAGAAUGAAUGAUAAUAGUACAUUAAAGAGGACUGAAUCAAUGGACAUUUGUUCAAAUUUCUUUUUAUGGGAAUUCUGAAUCUAGGAAUAAAUUAUUCUGCAUUAAUUCAAAUUUGAAAAACAAAGACAAUAUUUCAUAGAUACAAAACAGGACCUUUUGUCUGAAGCUAUAAUGUACACAGAGGAACUAAUUUUCCCUUAAGUUGUAAAAUUAUUAUAGCAUCCUACAUUCUAUACAAUAAGAAUAAUCCAGUGACAGCACAAAUAGAAAUUAGCAUUAAACAUCUAAUGGAUACUACUUCAGUCUACAAGAUUGGUAUAGCUAGUCCCAAGCCUAAUUAUAACUCAAUGAAACUUUUGGCAUAUAUGAAAUGUUACGUUGUGAACUAUUCUAUUUGGAAAGCCUAGAGGAAAUGAUAGAGCAUAAACCGCUUAUAGAAUAUCACUACUAGUAAUUCUAGUUAGAAGAAUCUGAUAGCUGGCUGGAAAAAAAAAUCUCUUUUUGAGGCCAGGAGAGCCAUGCCAGUUAAAGCUGACUACCCAAGACUAUAUGAUCCAAGGGACAAAGCCCUUUCUCCCAACCCUCAUAGUGACCUGAUGACAAAUCCUCUGGCUGCUGAUGCCAUGCACAGUAUAUUCUUGUUAACCCCAAUACAGGUGGAUUUAGCUUGACAACUUCCAGUCAUUAACCUCUAAUUUUGAAAGGUAUGCAUUGUGCAUCACAAACUUUGAUUUAGUAGGAUAUGUUGUUUCUCCUAUCCAUUGCUGCUGUCUGAGAAAUCAUGCUUUCCAGCUGUAUGGGUGCCUGUGGAGAGGUCAAUGAGGGGAAAAUGACAACUUUUGUGUCAUUCUAUUAUUUGUAUGUGCCAUCAUACAAAUAAUAGAAUGUGUAUAUUUUUGUGAAUCAGGAUGUAAGUACCCAAUUGUAUCAUUUGCAUGAUGGUGCACUUAUUUUGAUGUCAUGGCUUGUUAUGAAUGCCUAUGUCUGGUUGGUGAAUGUAAGAGACUGGCAUGCCUCUUUUCCUAAAUAUGUGCUAUGUCUUUUCCAAACUGCUUACAGUGCCACUGACUUAGUUCCCACGUUACGCUAACCCAUAAAAUGGUUUGUUGGGUUUUGUUAUAGCACAUUAUAUGAACUCAGUCACUGUUUUUUGUAAAUCAUAGUUUAUGAUUUAGCAAGAUAUAUGAACUUUAUCACUGUAGCUUAUUCAAGUGAUAUGUGAACCCUGCUUGUGUGUUUGCUUUAAUGGUCAUUCUGAUGCAAGAUCUGUCAAUAUAGUAUGUGAAUAGGACACCUAAAACAGCUAAUGAUAUUUUUGCACUUCUGCUUUUUGCUAUAUAGUAUUCUUUGUAUGUUGGAACGCACCCCUGAAAUUACUUGUUUUUGGGUGCCUAUAGUCCAAAGAGACUACUUGUUCUCUUCUGCUAAAGCUAUUCAAAUUGUGUGCAUCUGCUGUAUUUGCGCUCACCAUAUGAGCAAAGAAGCUGGUUUCUGGGGGAGAAUUUGCCCUCCUAAGAAUUUGACCAUUCAUUGAUUAAAUACUUUACUCAGUAAGAUUCCAUAGCUUCAAAGUUAUAACUUGAAAUUGAUUCUUUGGAGAAUACUAUAUAUUCUCUGUCAUAACAAAAUGUGUUUUCGUCUGUGCAUGUGCCGUUUAAUUUUAUUUUGUUGUAUAUUAUCACAUAUUUUUAUUUCCUUAUGAGUUAAUACUUUGUUUGUCCUAGGGCCUGGAAAUGCAAAUAUACAUAAUUAGCAUAGUUUUCAGUCUGAAGUUAAAUUAUAUUUACUUUGAUUUAAAUUACAAUCCUAAAGAGAAUUGUCAGUUUUAGAGUAAUCAAUGGGACUUCUAUAGAGUGGCUUGACCAUUAGGCUCCUGAAUGUGAAGUUCUACAUUUAUAGGUCUCUUAUUUCUCUUUAGUGAGCAAGGCAUUAAUGUUCACGCAAUGAGGAACCUGUGCUGCCUUCCUCAGGCAAGAGAAUGGGAAAAUUCUGCACAUAAUUCUAGACCAUGGGUGCUUCAGUGUUUAUACAUAGAUUUUAUUCCUUACUCCCUUGAAUAAAUGGCAGCAACAUUACUCUUGAGACAUAUUCCAGUGAAUUGCAACUGCAAUUAUUAAUAACCAACAUCUGUAUGUAUACCAGGUUUUCUGUACUCCACUGAGAAUAGAGUGAUUUGAAAACUGAUGGAGUAUGCCAGUUACCCUAGUAAAUGUCAAACACAGCUGACUGGCCCAUUUAAUGGUAUAAAUGUUGAUGACUCAGGUCAGAAUUAUCCUAAUGAAUGCUAUUUCUCUGGCUCAGCUGGUUUGAGCUCUCAAGGCACAGACUUAGACCUCCACUUAAGCCAUUUAUUCCUGAGGAGUUUCAUUCAGCUGACUUUUCUACAGGAUCAUUACAAUGCAAUUCAUUAGAUGGCUACAGUUUGAGGAUUGUGGCCAUAAACCCCUUCCAUUUAAACCAGUUAGAUUUACUUGGGAGUAAAUGUGUUUACAAUUGCAAGAAAAAAUUUGCAGUCUCAGGUUCUUGGUUAGUAACUGGCUGAUUCAAUGAGGACACAUGGUUAGUAACAGCACUCAAACCCAAUUGAUGGGGUCAACGUUUAUAUCCAUGCUGUUGUACAUCUGCAGUGUAAAUGAUUACUAUUUUAAAUGAUGUGUGCUACAAUUUAUUGAAGUGGAUCUCUCAGCUCCUUGGAGCUGAGAUAAAAUGUAGUAUGUAGUCUUAAAAGUGUUCCUAGUUGCAAGUGUAGGAGACCUAUGCUCUUACAUUAUCGUUUGCAUUUUUUUAGAAAAACAUUCAUUAUAGAUGCAUGAGCUGCUAAUCUAAUUAGAGAGACUAAAAGGUAGACAGGAGUUAAAAUAAGUGACCUGAAUGAGCUGCAUAGUAUAAUAUUUGCAUUUUGCAACUAAAGAGACAAAGCUUGUUGGACAUAGUAUCUUUUAGAUCUCAUUUCUGGAUUUUUUGAAAAGAACAUAGUGAACUUGAAAAGUUUAGAUAGAGUAAACUUAACAUGUAGAGCAGUACAGUGUAAAAGAUUGUGUGGGAAAUUAAAGUUAGAUUUAAUUAGCUUGAUUUAUUUUGUUUUCUUUUUGUUUGCAUUUGUUAGAAAUGAGUCUGUGAUUUCUGAUAAGCUUUAGCUUUGAUAACUCUGUACAUAAUAAUAAAAAUAUGUGACAAUGAUUAAAUAAUUCUACAUUUGUUGAAUAGGGCUGCCAAGAAACAACAAACAACAGCUCACUGCUGUGCUCCUAGACAUCAUCUAUUCAGCAAAAGACAUUUGAUUGAGGAUAUUUACUACUAAUAUCUGUACUUCCAGUUGCUGUUAGUCACAACAAAAAGGCCAGUGUAAAAUGAAUAGCCUAAUUGUUGAACUACAAAUUAAAGCAGCAGAUUUCAUAUAAAGAUCCGAAGUUCAAAAGUAUCAGUUUCAUGAAUGAUCCAUGCUUUAACUUCAGUAACAAGUUAUACUACAAUAAAUAUUAGACCAUUGUGUGUAUGUGCGUGCGUGCAUGCACGUGCAUAUAAAUUAAAAUUUCAGAGAAAAAUUGUGGAUUAAGGUAAGAAUUGGUCUUAUCAAGUCUUAUAGUAUCUUUUUGUUACCUUUUUACUUAUUAUAAAUUAAAAGGAGGGAGGUGGAAGUGGAAUACUGAUGAAGUCUAAUAAGUGUCAGUUAUUAGAAACUUGGGCCAUUGACAAUUUAAAAAAUCCUCUGCGCCUAACUCUGUAGUUCAGCCAGGAUUCAACCUGUUCAGAGAUAUCCUUCUAUGAGGAUAUACUGUUUAAAAUCUGAGAUACGUGGAUAUGUAUAAAACUCCUAGUGUACAAUAUUAUAAUGUUAAAAAAGAUUGGCAUCAACAGUUUAUUGUAAUUAUUUUAUUCUGGCCAUUAGCUGUCCUCUCUCUGCUUCCAUGCCAUCAGUCCAAAUUGAAAGCAGUGUAAUAUAACUGUAGCCUUCCACAAAGUCUAAUAAAUCAGAACAUGUUCUCACAGUUGGAAAAAAGUUGUUAGAAUUUGACAUGGAUGACCACCACUGCAGUAUAAAAAUCAACAAUUGAAACAGUUUGCUAUGAAAGAACUCAGCAAUCCACAAGAGAGAGUGAUUAUGUAUCACAGCGCUGGCCAAAGAUCCAGUUGCCUUCCAUUGAAGACAUAUGGUUCCACCCCAAGUGUUCCUGCCACUCACACAAUGUGCACUGGAUGGGAGAAAGUCAUGUGUACCUCCUGAGCAGAACCUUUCAAGACUGUAAGAAUGGACCUGACCCCCCUAGUGCAAUAUAAGGAGGAUUCAUAGCAUCUAAUAGUUUUAUGACAAAUGGGUAGAACCUGGUGUCUGUGCUCAGUGGGUCUUAUAUAUUAUGCUGUUUAAUCUACAAAUGUUUUCUCUGUUGUUCUAUCAAACGCAACCUUUAGAACUAAGCCAUUGGAACUCUUAAUAUGAUCUGAAUAACUGGUUCUGUCAUAAUCAAGUCACUUUUAUAUCAAAAUCCAUUUAUGAUUUUUGGCUAACUGCAAUAAAAGCUUCCCUAAACUGAAAA